rnacentral:tRNA from 5 species
AUCUUUUGAGUAUGAAGUAAGUACACUUACCUUCCAAGUAAGAAGAUAAAUAAAAAUUUAAAAAGAUA